rnacentral:ncRNA from 2 species
UUAUCUUUGCGAUGCAUUGGUUUGCCACUUUCGUCCGAAAGUGGCAAUUAAAAGGGAAUCAGGUGCAAAUCCUGAACAGUCCCGCUGCUGUAAGUUUCGCAUAUUGUUGCAGGCAAACUCUUUCAUGCCACUGGAUUUUUCCGGGAAGGCGCCUGUAACGGAAACAAGUCAGAAGACCUGCCAUGCAAACAUUAUCAUU